CAGGGGCGGUCAGCUGGUACCCCAAGAUACAGCACAAGCUCGUGAAGACUCACUUGAAGUUUGGAGCUCGAUGCAACCUCACAGGGAGAGUAUGAGAUUCUGAAAACACAUCAGGACAAACAAUUUAAGCGUCAGAAUUGAAAGAUUCAGGAAAUGAUAGGCUUAUACCAGGAGCGCCAUGGAUUUCUGCCCAGGAGCCACCAUGGAGCCGACCGGGAAGCGUGCUCCGGCCUUCCUCCGCGUCACCGGCACACC